rnacentral:rRNA from 1 species
ACGGGAGGCAGCAGUGGGGGAUAUUGCACAAUGGGCGAAAGCCUGAUGCAGCAACGCCGCGUGAGGGAAGAAGGUCUUCGGAUUGUAAACCUCUGUCCUAAGUGACGAAACAAAUGACGGUAGCUUAGGAGGAAGCCACGGCUAACUACGUGCCAGCAGCCGCGGUAAUACGUAGGUGGCAAGCGUUGUCCGGAUUUACUGGGUGUAAAGGGUGCGCAGGCGGGAAUUCAAGUUGGAUGUGAAAUGUCGGGGCUUAACCCCGGAACUGCAUCCAAAACUGAGUUUCUUGAGUGAUGUAGAGGUAAGCGGAAUUCCGAGUGUAGCGGUGAAAUGCGUAGAUAUUCGGAGGAACACCAGUGGCGAAGGCGGCUUACUGGGCAUUAACUGACGCUGAGGCACGAAAGUGUGGGUAGCAAACAGGAUUAGAUACCCUGGUA